CUGUGUGUGUGUGUCUCCGUUUCCUUUUAGCAGUGGGGCACUCGGCGUCACCGAAAACACCAGUCCUCGUCGAUUGGUCGCCCGAUUUCCAGGAACAACGUGUACUUCCCGCCCUCUAUUCCAGGAAGAAGAAUGGCAGCACUGGGAGUGAUCAGAAAGUACACAUCAUCAUCAUCAUCACCACCACAAACAACACCACCACCAUUACAGCACCAACCAACCAAAACAUCAGCAUCACCACCAUCCCCAACUGACCUGGAAACUCAAGCUUUAGCUGCAGCAGAGACUGGGUUGAACUAUAUUUUGAUGCUCUCCCUGUUUUGUUAUUUUGGUUUCUGUGAAACCAGUUGCCUGUUGCAAGAAGCUAAUUAUAUAGGGUUAAGGUCAGCUGGACCUCUGUGUCAAAACACUUCACUUGAUUUACCGUAAAAGGGAGUAACUCUUGCGGGCGAAUUAAGGAAGUUAAAAGGUUCUGCAUUGACAACUGUACUGAUCUUAGGGGUCUUCUUCUUUUCUCUCGGAUGGAUUGGAUGUUUGUGUCUGUGUUGCUGGGCUGCAGUGGCAGGAUGUCUUUGUGGUUGCCUAAGUACCCUUCUCCCUUAUUUACAUCAAAAUAUCUGGGGGAGAACAAGUCUAUCUUUUAUAAAUAAAGGCAAAUAGAAUUGAUUCUCA